UCUCGACUAGUGCCGCCUUGUCUUUUGAAAGUUUUCUCCUUUCUUUUUUAAAGUAUAUUACUGUUUACUUGGUGGCAGAAAUCU
rfam:Brassica napus, WGS project CCCW01000000 data, contig: 42440